rnacentral:rRNA from 1 species
GCUAGUCGCACGGGUUCAGACCCGUGGCGAAAAGCUCAGUAACACGUGGCCGAACUACCCUACGGAUCGGGACAACCUCGGGAAACUGAGGUUAAUCCCGAAUAGCGCUCCCACGCUUGAAUGCCGGGAGCGCCAAACGCUCCGGCGCCGUAGGAUGUGGCUGCGGCCGAUUAGGUAGACGGUGGGGUAACGGCCCACCGUGCCGAUAAUCGGUACGGGUUGUGAGAGCAAGAGCCCGGAGAUGGAUUCUGAGACAAGAAUCCAGGCCCUACGGGGCGCAGCAGGCGCGAAACCUUUACNCUGUGCGAGAGCGCGAUAAGGGGACCCCGAGUGCGAGGGCAUACAGUCCUCGCUUUUGUUCACCGUAAAGUGGUGUACGAAUAAAAGCUGGGCAAGACCGGUGCCAGCCGCCGCGNUAAUACCGGCAGCUCGAGUGAUGGCC